CGUAUCACUUAAAGCGAUUCAGCGGGUUACGAUUGACGGAGCGAAGCGACGUCAAAGCGUAUACAAAGUCGAGUCGGUUUAAGGAUACGUUCGUUGGGUAGGGGAGCGUUCUGUAAGCCUGCGAAGGUGGCCUGUGAGGGUUGCUGGAGGUAUCAGAAGUGCGAAUGCUGACAUAAGUAACGAUAAAGCGGGUGAAAAGCCCGCUCGCCGGAAGACCAAGGGUUCCUGUCCAACGUUAAUCGGGGCAGGGUGAGUCGACCCCUAAGGCGAGGCCGAAAGGCGUAGUCGAUGGGAAACGGGUUAAUAUUCCCGUACUUGGUGUUACUGCGAAGGGGGGACGGAGAAGGCUAUGUUGGCCGGGCGACGGUUGUCCCGGUUUAAGCGUGUAGGCUGGUUUUCCAGGCAAAUCCGGAAAAUCAAGGCUGAGGCGUGAUGACGAGGCACUACGGUGCUGAAGCAACAAAUGCCCUGCUUCCAGGAAAAGCCUCUAAGCAUCAGGUAACAUCAAAUCGUACCCCAAACCGACACAGGUGGUCAGGUAGAGAAUACCAAGGCGCUUGAGAGAACUCGGGUGAAGGAACUAGGCAAAAUGGUGCCGUAACUUCGGGAGAAGGCACGCUGACACGUAGGUGAAGUGAUUUACUCAUGGAGCUGAAGUCAGUCGAAGAUACCAGCUGGCUGCAACUGUUUAUUAAAAACACAGCACUGUGCAAACACGAAAGUGGACGUAUACGGUGUGACGCCUGCCCGGUGCCGGAAGGUUAAUUGAUGGGGUCAGCGCAAGCGAAGCUCCUGAUCGAAGCCCCGGUAAACGGCGGCCGUAACUAUAACGGUCCUAAGGUAGCGAAAUUCCUUGUCGGGUAAGUUCCGACCUGCACGAAUGGCGUAAUGAUGGCCAGGCUGUCUCCACCCGAGACUCAGUGAAAUUGAACUCGCUGUGAAGAUGCAGUGUACCCGCGGCAAGACGGAAAGACCCCGUGAACCUUUACUAUAGCUUGACACUGAACAUUGAGCCUUGAUGUGUAGGAUAGGUGGGAGGCUUUGAAGUGUGGACGCCAGUCUGCAUGGAGCCGACCUUGAAAUACCACCCUUUAAUGUUUGAUGUUCUAACGUGGACCCGUAAUCCGGGUUGCGGACAGUGUCUGGUGGGUAGUUUGACUGGGGCGGUCUCCUCCUAAAGAGUAACGGAGGAGCACGAAGGUUGGCUAAUCCUGGUCGGACAUCAGGAGGUUAGUGCAAUGGCAUAAGCCAGCUUGACUGCGAGCGUGACGGCGCGAGCAGGUGCGAAAGCAGGUCAUAGUGAUCCGGUGGUUCUGAAUGGAAGGGCCAUCGCUCAACGGAUAAAAGGUACUCCGGGGAUAACAGGCUGAUACCGCCCAAGAGUUCAUAUCGACGGCGGUGUUUGGCACCUCGAUGUCGGCUCAUCACAUCCUGGGGCUGAAGUAGGUCCCAAGGGUAUGGCUGUUCGCCAUUUAAAGUGGUACGCGAGCUGGGUUUAGAACGUCGUGAGACAGUUCGGUCCCUAUCUGCCGUGGGCGCUGGAGAACUGAGGGGGGCUGCUCCUAGUACGAGAGGACCGGAGUGGACGCAUCACUGGUGUUCGGGUUGUCAUGCCAAUGGCACUGCCCGGUAGCUAAAUGCGGAAGAGAUAAGUGCUGAAAGCAUCUAAGCACGAAACUUGCCCCGA
rnacentral:rRNA from 1 species